AUCUUGGUGUGCGCUAAAAUCUCCAGCGCCGGACGGACGGACGCAGUUUGGACGCAGCAAACGAACGGCACCGCGGGGGAUGUGAGAAAAAGACACCCAGAGCAGACAUGGAUGUUUAACCGGCGUUUGGUUUUAAUUUUUCUAAUCUUUAUUUUUUUUAUCGUAAAGAAAAAUCCCACAAACAAACCUUGUGAUGUUGCUUCUGCCCAGGGGGGUGUAACUGAAUUAAACCUGCUCGAUGUCUCUCAUCAGUUUGUAACCGGAACAAAAUGAGGAUUUCUUCCCGCUGGAUUCUGCUGAUGUUCUCGGGCUUGUGGGGACUGAACAUGGGCGCGUUCCCGAGCAGCGUUCAGAUCGGUGGUCUGUUUAUCAGAAACACCGACCAGGAGUACACCGCCUUCCGACUGGCAAUAUUCCUGCACAACACAAGUCCGAACGCAUCGGAAGCUCCGUUCAACCUGGUGCCUCACGUGGACAACAUCGAAACAGCCAACAGCUUCGCUGUCACCAACGCCUUUUGCUCCCAGUACUCUCGCGGUGUCUUCGCCAUCUUCGGCCUGUACGACAAGCGCUCGGUCCACACAUUGACGUCCUUCUGCAGCGCCCUGCACAUCUCCCUCAUCACACCCAGCUUCCCCACCGAAGGCGAGAGCCAGUUCACCCUGCAGCUGCGGCCGUCCAUCCGAGGGGCACUGCUGUCCCUGCUGGACCACUACGACUGGAACAAGUUCGUCUUCCUCUACGACACAGACCGAGGCUACGCCAUCCUGCAGGCCAUCAUGGAGAAAGCAGGACAGAACAACUGGCAGGUCAGCGCCAUCUGUGUGGAGACUUUCAAUGAUGCCAACUACCGACAGCUGCUGGAGGAUCUGGACCGGCGUCAGGAGAAGAAGUUCGUCAUCGACCUGGAGGCCGAGAGGCUGCAGAACAUGUUGGAACAGAUCGUUAGCAUUGGGAAACAUGUGAAAGGAUACCAUUACAUCAUGGCCAAUCUGGGGUUUAAGGACAUCAACCUGGAGCGCUUCAUGCAUGGAGGAGCCAACGUGACGGGCUUCCAGUUGGUGGACUUCAGCAACCCUAUGGUCAUCAAACUGAUGCAGCGCUGGAAUAAACUGGAUCAGAGAGAGUAUCCAGGCUCAGACGCCCCACCUAAGUACACCUCGGCGCUGACGUACGACGGCGUGAUGGUGAUGGCAGAGGCCUUCAGGAACCUACGCAGACAGAAGGUGGACCUCUCCAGACGAGGCAAUGCCGGGGACUGCCUGGCGAACCCCGCUGCCCCAUGGAACCAGGGCAUCGACAUGGAGCGUACCCUCAAACAGGUCCGGUUGCAGGGAUUAACAGGUAAUGUCCAGUUUGAUCACUAUGGCCGCAGGGUCAACUACACGAUGGACGUGUUUGAACUGAAGAAUAAUGGACCCAGAAGGAUCGGCUACUGGAACGACGCAGACAAACUGGUGCUGAUCCAGGACUCCCAGCUGCUUCCAAACGACACUACCGGCAUGGAGAACCGCACCGUUAUUGUUACCACCAUUAUGGAGGGUCCCUAUGUGAUGCUAAAGAAGAACUGGGAGAUGUACGAGGGAAACGACCAGUAUGAAGGCUACUGUGUGGAUUUGGCUUCUGAGAUCGCCAAACACAUCGGGAUCAAGUACAAGAUUUCCAUCGUUCCCGAUGGGAAGUACGGCGCCAGGGAUCCAGAGACGAAGAUCUGGAACGGGAUGGUUGGGGAGCUGGUGUACGGGAAAGCGGAAAUCGCUGUGGCCCCUUUGACCAUCACGCUGGUCCGGGAGGAGGUGAUUGAUUUCUCCAAACCUUUCAUGUCACUUGGAAUUUCCAUUAUGAUUAAGAAGCCCCAGAAGUCUAAACCGGGGGUUUUCUCCUUCCUGGACCCGUUGGCCUACGAGAUCUGGAUGUGCAUCGUGUUCGCCUAUAUCGGUGUGAGCGUGGUGCUCUUCCUGGUCAGCCGCUUCAGCCCGUAUGAAUGGCACACCGAGGAGCCCGAAGAGGGCACCGACGGUCCGCCAAGCGACCAGCCCCCCAAUGAGUUUGGCAUCUUCAACUCUCUGUGGUUCUCCCUGGGCGCCUUCAUGCAGCAGGGCUGUGACAUCUCCCCCAGGUCGCUUUCAGGACGAAUCGUGGGGGGAGUGUGGUGGUUCUUCACCCUCAUCAUCAUCUCGUCCUACACAGCCAACCUGGCUGCUUUCCUCACAGUGGAGAGGAUGGUGUCCCCCAUCGAGAGCGCCGAGGACCUGGCCAAGCAGACCGACAUCGCCUACGGCACUCUGGACUCGGGUUCCACCAAAGAGUUCUUCAGGCGGUCCAAGAUCGCCGUCUACGAGAAGAUGUGGGGGUACAUGAAGUCCGCCGAGCCCACCGUCUUCACCAAGACCACGGCUGAAGGGGUGGCACGGGUCCGCAAGUCUAAAGGGAAAUACGCUUUCCUGUUGGAGUCCACCAUGAACGAGUACACAGAGCAGCGCAAGCCCUGCGACACGAUGAAAGUCGGAGGCAACUUGGACUCCAAAGGCUACGGAGUCGCUACACCAAAGGGUUCACAGUUAAGAACGCCCGUAAACCUUGCCGUAUUGAAACUGAGUGAAGCAGGAGUCUUAGACAAACUGAAAAACAAAUGGUGGUACGAUAAAGGGGAGUGUGGACCCAAGGACUCGGGAAGUAAGGACAAGUCGUCCCAAGCCCUCAGCCUGAGCAACGUGGCGGGGGUCUUCUACAUCCUCGUCGGGGGCCUGGGCCUGGCAAUGCUGGUGGCCCUCAUCGAAUUCUGCUACAAGUCACGCAACGAGGCCAAGAGAAUGAAGGUGGAGGCCCAGUCCUCAUCCCAAUCCCAGUCCCAACACCCCCAUUCCCACAGCUGCUACCCGUGCCGCUCAGGCAGCCCUCAACAUAGUCCAGAGCCUAGCCAGAGCCCCAGACCCAGCGGGUUUAGCGAGGUUUUCAGUGGUUUUGGCAGCGACGGGAAGGCUGAUAAGCUGUAGCGGGGGUUUUCGUAGAAGGUCCACCCAAACGUUUGCUCUCCCUUCACUAGCUCCGUGCGCAGAGACUCUAACGUUCACAGAAGCCAUGAGGAACAAGGCGCGUCUGUCCAUCACAGGCAGCGUUGGGGAGAAUGGCCGAGUGCUGACGCCAGAUUGUCCCAAGGCCGUCCACGCCGGGCCUCCCAUACGCCAGAGCUCCGGCCUGGCCCUGGUCUCCCCUGAGCUUCCUUGAAAACCAAAAAAAACCCCAAGUGCCUUAAUGCAAUAACACCAGAGACAAUAAAGACCACAACCAGGAAGAAACGACGAAGGGAGGGGAUUCAGACAGCCGACGGCUCUCCUCCGAUGGGCGCGGAGCAGGGGAAAGCCGCUGGUGGAGGGUUUGUUACGCGCUGCAACUUCCCUCCAAACAAGGAGGCAGAACUAUCUCUUUUUUUAAAGACUGUGGCCACGUGGAAGAGACUGUUUGGGCAAACCCACUGCAGAUAUUCAACCUUUACUAGUGACAGAAUAGGGAUGAAAUGAAAUAUCACAAGAUGUGACGAAGACGGAGGAAAGCGCAAACUCGAAAACUGCACAUCGGACCUUUGUUCCUCCGUUGGAGGGCUGUGAAGUGGUGGAAAAAAUAAAGAACUGAACUAAAGUCACGAUUGCAGCUCUUUUCAGUUUGAAAACAGACGUGAGCAGUGUUCACGAAAUAUCAACGCGUGACUCCGGGAGGGUCUUCACCCCAACCCCAACGCCAUGAUGAGAAAUAUUUGUACUUACAGAAAAUGAGAUGAUACAUCUAUUGAUACUGAAUAUAUGAGCAAACAUAGAAUACUGUGAAAAUUAGUAAAUAUGUAUAUUCUGAAAAGAACAAGAAGGAAGUCUCUAGCUGUACAUAGCGAUGGCCAUGCUUGCUUUUUAAACAGAUGUACAUAGCAGAUACUGUAGUGAGCAAAAGGUUUUUUCUAAAAAAAAAUCAUCUUUUAAGAUUUUAUUCAUCGCAAUAAUGAGAAGGACGACGCCACUUGAAGGAGGAGACACACAGGAGUUAGUGUUAAAAAUUCAGUUGAAUUCUUUACUGUAUUAUAUAGAAACUCUAAAUGUGAAGGGUGUCGACUGCCCAAUUAUUCUGAUACCCGAUGCUUAAAGACUAAUAAAUAUAUUCAACAAAUGAAUGUUAACUAGCUCCACCCCAAUCCUUAAAUCAUAACCCUCACUGUGCGGACGUAGACCCAGAGAGACGCUUUGAUAUCAAAUUCAUUCCAUCAGGAUUGUUUUUCAUCCCUUCAUCUAUUUUUUGUACUGAAAAAUGAAAGUUUCUGGUUUUAAAUGUGAACAGAUGACCAGUGGAGGUUUCAGGCUGCCACACGAGUCUAAAUGAACCGUAAGUUUUCGUUACGUUGACGUCUGUGUGUUGGACCAGGGCCAGUUCCUACUGAAUCACUGUGGAUCCUCUGGUGAGUCUGAAUAUGCUGUAGCCUGCUGAAGAGUCUGAUGUCUUCUGGAGCUCGGAGGACAAUCUGCAUCAAAAUACAAUGCAACCUUCAUCUUCAGCGGCGAGGAGCCGACGAAACUGUUUUAGUUGUUUCUCACCUCUCAUCUGGUCCUUGUUUCUUACGGGGGAGAAACCAGCUGAGAGAGCCCAGGUCUCACAUUCUUGUCCUGCCAUCUGUCUCUAGACCUGAAGUGGAAUAUUGUCUUUUUUCUUUUUUUUUUUUGGAUAAAUUAUAAAUCUUUAUUUUGAAUUUUUUAAGUAAAAACAAAUUUAAAUUGCAA